rnacentral:rRNA from 1 species
UACGGAGGGAGCUAGCGUUGUUCGGAAUUACUGGGCGUAAAGCGCACGUAGGCGGCUUUGUAAGUUAGAGGUGAAAGCCCGGGGCUCAACUCCGGAACUGCCUUUAAGGCUGCAUCGCUUGAAUCCAGGAGAGGUGAGUGGAAUUCCGAGUGUAGAGGUGAAAUUCGUAGAUAUUCGGAAGAACACCAGUGGCGAAGGCGGCUCACUGGACUGGUAUUGACGCUGAGGUGCGAAAGCGUGGGGAGCAAACAGG